rnacentral:lncRNA from 1 species
GAAGAAUGUAUGCCACGUGGCAAAAAAUGCCCCAUGCAUAUUGAUGAUGUGGCUUAAUAAGGAGAGACCCAAGUCUCCUUUAUUAUAUAAGAUAUUAUAUGUUGGAAACAAAGAGAGAGAAAGAGUGUGAUUGGAUGAGAAGUGAGUGGAGAGGUGUGUGAUAACACGUAAGAGAGAGAUGAGAGCUUUAUUAUUUUCUGUAUUAUUUUCUUCUUACUUCAGUCAUACAAAUAAGAAAGAGAAUGAGCUAUUUAUAACCCAUCAAAGUCGGUUUAAUUUACCGACUCAAAAGAAAAAUAUAAAAAAUCAACACUGACAUCUAGAUGAUGAUGCAACAAGACAUUUGAUAGGGAGGGGACCAGUGUCCACUACGUGACAAUAUUUGGAUAAUCAUACGUAACAAUAACAUUACUAAUUAGUGUAAUCUAUUUUCCUCGAUUUAAAUUUCAAUUAAUGAUAAACUAAAAAUUACACAAAAGUGAUAUAACCAACGCCGACGAGAAAAGAACGAGACAAAAAAAGAAGAAGAAGAACAUUUCCUAGAAACUAAAGCAACCGGACAAAUUAAAAGUCCUAGAAAACCAUGAACAAAGCUAAGAACUUAACAAUAUAGAUCGUAUCACACGAGAUAGACUGGAAAUACGUUAAAUUAGGGGGGGGGGACACUGAGCGGAUAUCCGAAAUUUUAAGGAUACCCGUGAUCCACUCCGUUCCCUGCGAAUAAUUGAUUUUCGAUCCGAUUUGAUCCGUAACUUUUUGAAUAUCCGGUGUUCCGGAUAUCCGCAAAUAUCUAGAUUUUUGCCGGAUAUCCGAUUCGAUCCGUAAAAAAAAUAAAAAUUAAAAAAUAAAAGAAAAAGAAGAAAAUCUGCUAUAAAAUAAUAAUAUUUUCAUUACAAUAUUUUUUUAAAAAAAUUACAUACUUUUAAAAAAUGUAAUAACUAAAAAAUUAAUUUAUUGAAUAAAAACAUUAUAAAACUUAUGUGGAGAUAUAAAAGUAUAUAUAUUAUAUAACUUUAGAAACAUGUAUACAUAUAUAUGUAUAUAACAGAUCAGAUCGGAUAUCCGUUUUUAAAAAUAUUAGUAUUUGUGAUUUGCUUCGUCUUUGGCGGAUACUAAAUUUUGUUAUUUGCUUUGAUUCGUUAAGUUACAGAUAUCCGGAUUUUUUGGAUCAAAUCGAAACGAAUAACAGAUCAAAUCAAAAUUUAUGGAUAUUUUG